UCUGGUUGAUCCUGCCAGUAGUCAUAUGCUUGUCUCAAAGACUAAGCCAUGCAUGUCUAAGUCCAAGCUGUGUUUACACGGCGAGACCGCGGACGGCUCAUUAAAUCAGUCGUGGUCCAAAUGGGCCAGUAUCCUUUACUUGGAUAACUGUGGUAAUUCCAGAGCUAAUACAUGCAACUGAUACUCUGAUGGCGUGGCAGAGAUGUGGUGGCGAGCUUGUCUCGUGCCCUCUCUGUUCCCUGACGAGUGCUUUUAUUAGAACAAACCGCUGGGAGGUGGGAGUGCUCUGAGCAUCUCUUCGGAGUGCCUGGGUGCCUUCGCCUCGACUCGCUAUGUGGUGACUCUGGAUAACCAAUGCUUAUGACAAGCGCACGUACCUUCGCUCUGCGUUGGACGGCGCUGCCACUUUCGAGUGUCUGCCUUAUCAGCUUCAACCGUUCGCUACACGCGACCGAUGGCUUUGACGGGUAACGGGGAAUCAGGGUUCGAUUCCGGAGAGGCAGCCUGAGAAACGGCUACCACGUCCAAGGACGGCAGCAGGCACGCAAAUUACCCAAUCCCAGCACCUGGGGGAGGUAGUGACGAAACCUAACGAUGCGGGCGCCCGUUACGGGCCCCGCAAUCGGAAUGAGCACUUUCUAAACAACCUGUUGAGAACCUACUGAAGGGCAAGUCUGGUGCCAGCAGCCGCGGUAAUUCCAGCUUCAGUAGCAUCUAUUAAAGUUGCUGCGGUUAAAAGGCUCGCAGUUGAAUGUCAGUGCCGGGUGUUGGUAGGUGGACGCUGGGGAUGUUGGAAUACGUGUCUGCGGGAGUCUGUGCGGCCUCUGGCUGUGCGGCUUCUCGGGCUCUCCUUCAAGCUCCCGUCCGUGACAAGCCUCCACGCCUGUGUACACAGUGAUGUCAAUCCGCGAGAGGGGAGUCUCUUCACUCUCGCACUGGCAUCAAUGUCACCCUGAGUAAAUCAGAGUGCUCAAAGCAGUCGUAACGGGCGCAAGCCCAGUGAACACGAAGUCCUCACGGACAGGGACGGUCUUGGUUUUGCAUGGCAUGUCGGAAUACGACGACGGGCGCUGGCUAAGAGUUAUCUCACAGUGGUACAAGCCAGCCUCGUCGUACUGAUUAAAAGGGCUUGUCGAGGGCAUUAGUAUUGCGGAGCGAGAGGUGAAAUUCUAUGACCUCCGCAAGACUUCCUGAAGCGAAAGCGUCUGCCAAGGAUGUUUUCAUUAAUCAUGAACGAAAGUUAGAGGAUCGAAGGCGAUCAGAUACCGCCCUAGUUCUAACCCUAAACGAUGCCAACCAUCAAUCCGUCGCGUAGCACCCUUUUGUACGGGCUCGGCGGGCAGCUCCUUUCCACGGGAAACCAGAGUCUCUGGGUUCCGGGGGGAGUCUGGUUGCAAAGCUGAAACUUAAAGGAAUUGACGGAAAGGCACCACCAGGCGUGGAGCUUGCGGCUUAAUUUGACUCAACACGGGUAAUCUCACCAGGCCAGCACUCUAGCAUGAUUGACAGAUUGAGAGCUCUUUCUCGAUUCAGUGGAUGGUGGUGCAUGGCCGUUCUUAGUUGGUGGAGUGAUCUGUCUGGUUAAUUCCGAUAACGAACGAGACUCUCCCCUGCUAACUAGUCGGUUGGAUCUUGAUAUGCGAGUCGAGCCCUGCGUUGGUAGACGGCGGGAGCCCUGUGGCUUUGGCGCUGCGUGUUGUGUUGGUCAGGGUGCUUCGGUGCUUUGGCUGCCGCGCGUAGUUGUCGGGUCGCUUGAUCCUUGCCUUGCCUUCUUGUAGGUAGUUCACUCCAAGUCCGCCGCUGUGUCUUAGAAUUCUUCUUAGAGGGAUCAACGGCUCUGAAGCCGUCAGAGACUGAGAGCAAUAACAGGUCUGUGAUGCCCUUAGAUGCUCUGGGCCGCACGCGUGCUACAAUGCCGGGCACAGCAGGUGUUUCUUCCUGUUCCGAGAGGAACGGGCAACCCUCUGAAAGCCCUUCAGCAUUUCUCUCGUGUCAGGCGCAUCUUGCUUAACGGCGGGUGUGUCUCUGUCCGAGAGUGGCGUGCUUGGGCCUGGGGCUUGCAAUUAUUCCCCACAAACGAGGAAUGCCUAGUAGCGGUAGGUCACUGAGCCUGCCGUGACUGAGUCCCUGCCCUUUGUACACACCGCCCGUCGCUACUACCGAUUGGGUGUACCAGUGAGAGCCUUGGACUGGCGGCCGUUGCCCUCACUCUCUUGUAGAGUGGGCACAUCGGCACUCGACUGAAAGAGGUCCGAACUGGUGCACUUAGAGGAAGUAAAAGUCGUAACAAGGUUUCCGUAGGUGAACCUGCGGAAGGAUCAUUAA
rnacentral:rRNA from 1 species